rnacentral:misc_RNA from 1 species
UACGGAGGGUGCGAGCGUUAAUCGGAAUUACUGGGCGUAAAGCGCGCGUAGGCGGUUUGCUAAGUCAGAUGUGAAAUCCCCGGGCUUAACCUGGGAACUGCAUUUGAGACUGGUAGGCUAGAGUGUGGUAGAGGUGAGUGGAAUUUCAGGUGUAGCGGUGAAAUGCGUAGAGAUCUGAAGGAACAUCAGUGGCGAAGGCGACUCACUGGGCCAUUACUGACGCUGAGGUGCGAAAGCGUGGGUAGCAAACAGG